rnacentral:lncRNA from 1 species
CGUGUAUAAAUACAAAAAUAAGUAAAAACAUGAUCAAUAAAAACUCUAUAACAAUCAGGUUAAAUUUGAAUCACUAUAAUUUAAAUGACAAAGAAUGAGAGAGAGAAUAUGUUAUUUUAUUCACUUGCAUAUGGAGUACAUAAGACACAGAUCUUCAUAUGACUUAUUUUCGCGUGUUGGAGUACAUCCAAAGACAGAUCUCCAAUAUUUCGCAGGUGGACUUUUGUUCCACAGAAGAGGAUCGGCAUAAUAAUAUUAUUAUUUUUCAUUGUGCAUGCAUCAUAUAAUUUGUGUAUGUAUUAUGUAUUUGUGUUUCAUUUAUUGCAAAAACAAUUCAUAGGAAAAAAGUUAUAUUAAUCACAAUUAAUAAGAUUCAAAAAUUAAAUUCAAAACAAUUAAAAAAAAAAAAUGAAAUCAGGAGAUUUCAAACUUAACAAGGGGGUAAUGUUAUAAAAGGAUUUAGGACACUUUUAGAAAUAAUAAGAAAUUGAAAUAAAAUAGAUCUUAUUUAAACAAAAAUAUAGGUUUAUAGGUUAUUAAGAUAGUUCCAAGUAAAAGAUAAUAUAAAGGUCAAAUGAUUCGUUGAUAUAGGAAAAUAAAGUAAGAAGAAAACAUAUAGGAAAAUAAAGUAAGAAGAAAACACAUAAAGAAGAUAGCGAAUAACAAGCAUUAUCUUAGAUGCAUGAUAAGGAAGAAUAGUACAAGUCAAGAACCUCAUUAGUUAUUUGGCACGCGUUUAGAAGGUUGCUAGGUCGACGGACAGAUGUAUGUCGAAUUGAUAUUACAUCCAAGGUUAUAACCAUAUUCACAGAAGGUGUAGAUACUACAGCAUCAUGAAUAUUCAGUAAUACAUUUAGGCACACGAGAUAGUUAUUAAUACCCAAUCAAAAAGUUUAGAUACGAAGAUUGACGUAC